rnacentral:rRNA from 1 species
CUCAGGAUGAACGCUAGCGGCAGGCCUAAUACAUGCAAGUCGAACGGUCAGUAGCAAUACUGAUAGUGGCGCACGAGUGCGUAACGCGUAACCAACCUACCCUUGACUGGGGGAUAGCCCGCCGAAAGGCGGAUUAAUACCGCAUAAGACCAUAGAAUGGCAUCAUUUAGUGGUUAAAGAUUUAUUGGUCAAGGAUGGGGUUGCGUGCCAUUAGCUAGUUGGGGGGGUAACGGCCCACCAAGGCGACGAUGGCUAGGGGAGCUGAGAGGCUGGUCCCCCACACGGGCACUGAGAUACGGGCCCGACUCCUACGGGAGGCAGCAGUAGGGAAUAUUGGGCAAUGGCCGAGAGGCUGACCCAGCCAUGCCGCGUGCAGGAUGAAGGCUUUCUGAGUCGUAAACUGCUUUUGUCAGGGAAGAAUAAGGGCCGUGCGCGGCCUGAUGACGGUACCUGGCGAAUAAGCACCGGCUAACUCCGUGCCAGCAGCCGCGGUAAUACGGAGGGUGCAAGCGUUGUCCGGAUUUAUUGGGUUUAAAGGGUGCGUAGGCGGCCGAUUAAGUCUGGGGUGAAAGCCCGUUGCUCAACAACGGAACUGCCCUGGAAACUGGUUGGCUUGAGUACAGACGAGGGUGGCGGAAUGGAUGCUGUAGCGGUGAAAUGCAUAGAUAGCAUCCAGAACCCCGAUUGCGAAGGCAGCUGCCUAGACUGUAACUGACUCUGAGGCACGAAAGCGUGGGGAGCGAACAGGAUUAGAUACCCUGGUAGUCCAUGCCGUAAACGUUGGGAACUAGAUGUAGGGGCCAUUCCACGGUUUCUGUGUCGCAGCUAACGCAUUAAGUUCCCCGCCUGGGGAGUACGGCCGCAAGGCUAAAACUCAAAAGAAUUGACGG